GUCAGAAUACCUACUCGAUUUCCGUGUGUACAUUAGAACAGACGGAUAAGACGUUCUGUGAUUGUCACUUGAAAAGCCCCCCCAAGAAGGGUUGGCUCUUUCUGUCUUCAGGCAGCAGGGAAAUGUUCCAACUCGACAGUGUCCAUUUGAUAAAGCUACUCAUCACUAGGCACUGAAGCAGAUCAAAAAUGACUGCAGACCUAUGUGGGAAAUAACAGGAGGCUAUAUGAAGAUUGAGAAAGAGACAGCCUCCAAAAUGCAUAUUUAUUUUUAACCAGACACUGGAGAACAUCCAAAGACAUUCUCACCAACUAUAAGACAUCUUUCAAAUCAUACUGCAUGAUCCAGUAAAAGUGCAAGGAGUAUAGGUCAGAAUGCAAGGGUUUCAUUCUUCCAGAAAUUUCUUUGAAACAGGAAAUUACAUCAAAAAUAUGUAAGAUAAAGAACUCUCUAUUGUGUAGUUACAUAUUUUUACCUACAGAACAACAAUUAAUUUACAUCCUUAAAGUAAGAAGUCUAAUAUUACUUGCCUGAUAACUAUAAAUAUAAACCUCUCAUACAAAAUUUCAUACAAAGCUGUAAUACAAUUUGAGAGGCAAAACACACAUAUGUACAUUUUUCUGCAAUACAUGUUCACUUUGUACCAUG